rnacentral:misc_RNA from 1 species
CCGAGUUUACACAACUCCCAAACCCACUGUGAACCUUACCGAAUCGUUGCUUCGGCGGGACACGCCCCGGGCCCCAGCCGCCCGGAACCAGGCGCCCGCCGGAGGCCCCAAAACUCUCAUGUUUCUCCUGGCGGAAUCGAAUCUGAGUGUGCCACAGCGGCAAGAAAAUGAAUCA